CGGGGAAUAUUGGACAAUGGGCGCAAGCCUGAUCCAGCAAUGCCGCGUGUGUGAAGAAGGCCUUCGGGUUGUAAAGCACUUUUAUCAGGAGCGAAACGCUGUCGGCUAAUACCCGGCGGAACUGACGGUACCUGAGGAAUAAGCACCGGCUAACUUCGUGCCAGCAGCCGCGGUAAUACGAAGGGUGCAAGCGUUAAUCGGAAUUACUGGGCGUAAAGCGUGCGUAGGCGGUUUCUUAAGUCUGCUGUGAAAUCCCCGGGCUCAACCUGGGAAUGGCAGUGGAUACUGGGAGGCUAGAGUGUGUCAGAGGGUGGUGGAAUUCCCGGUGUAGCGGUGAAAUGCGUAGAGAUCGGGAGGAACAUCAGUGGCGAAGGCGGCCACCUGGGACAACACUGACGCUGAGGCACGAAAGCGUGGGGAGCAAACAGGAUUAGAUACCCUGGUAGUCCACGCCCUAAACGAUGCGAACUGGAUGUUGGUCUCAACUCGGAGAUCAGUGUCGAAGCUAACGCGUUAAGUUCGCCGCCUGGGGAGUACGGUCGCAAGACUGAAACUCAAAGGAAUUGACGGGGUCAUAGCUG
rnacentral:rRNA from 1 species